rnacentral:lncRNA from 1 species
AUUCAUUCUUGCAUUUUAAUGGCAAGACCGCACCCACAUGGCACCACUGAGCGGUGCAUUACUUUGUGUCAGGUGGCCUGCGGGGCCCUGAUGGUGUAGAGUUCAGCCAUCCUGGACACAUAACCUCACAGAGCAGCUGAGCAACGAAGGCAUCUAAGCUGAGCAUGACUGGUAAGACUCCUACGACAGUGGCCACCUGGCCAAGAGAACUAUUGCUGGACAUCUAGUCAAUCUGUCCUUAAAAGUCACUGCCCCCCUUAUCUUAGCACAUUUGUUAUCAUUGCUAGUACAUGACUCCUUCUCUAGCUGCUCUGAUCUAAGUGGCUCCCAGCCAUGAAUUGACUUGAUGCUCUUAACAACACUUCUUCCAAGUCUUCAUUACUAUGUCCAUUUUACAGAGAGGAAUACUGAGAUACUGGUUUAAGUACCUUGCUCAAGGACACACAGAUUAUAACAGCCUGAGACAGACAGCUGCCAGUGCUUCUUCUGUUCAUGCCCCCCCUCCCCAAGUGGCCUGGAGUUACUGGGACUAAGACUCACGUUUUGCUGGCUUUCAGGUACUCUCACUGUGUAUGCUUACCUCCUCGGCAUUAUGAGAGAGGUCACUGCAGAGGGA